UACGUAGGGUGCGAGCGUUAAUCGGAAUUACUGGGCGUAAAGCGUGCGCAGGCGGUUUUGUAAGCCCGAUGUGAAAGCCCCGGGCUUAACCUGGGAAUGGCAUUUGGGACUGCAAGGCUUGAGUGCGGCAGAGGAGACUGGAAUUCCCGGUGUAGCGGUGAAAUGCGUAGAUAUCUGGAGGAACACCGGUGGCGAAGGCGGCAUCCUGGACCAACACUGACGCUGAGGAGCGAAAGCCAGGGGAGCAAACGGG
rnacentral:rRNA from 1 species